rnacentral:lncRNA from 1 species
GCUCAGACACUAGGGUCCCUCCGAUGGCCCUGCAGCUCCCCGUGCCCAUGCCCUGGCCUCCUGCUCACUCAUGCCAUCUGUCACUCCAGAAGGCUGGACGAAUCCAAGCUCUCGUCUCUCCACCUGCUCCGUCCCAUCUGCCUUCUCCUUCGGGAGGUCCGUAAAGCUGCUCUGGAGCCAAAAUAAUGGGGUCACAUCUCGGGAGUGACCUGUUCUGCCCCGCCCCCACUUUUCUUGGCCCAUGCCAGGACUCACUCACUUUCAGCUUCACCAUGGCCUCCUUCAGGGCCCGGUAGCUCUCCCCACACACAAACUCAUCUCCAGUCCUCCCUGGGGCUGGGGCCUCUGCCUCUGGCUUCUUCCAGGCCAAGGCCACCAGAUGAGCCAGGUGCAGGCAGCACAGCCUUCGCACCUUCCGCUGCCCACAUAGCCGGGCCUGCUCCUCCUGGGAACUGGCUCCAGCGGAGUUGAAAAAUGCCACUUGAAGGCAAGAGGUGAGUAUUCUUUUAGGGGCAUAGACAGAGCAAAUGAGGCAGGAAGUUGGAGCACAGUCCCUUCCCUUGGGGCCUCAGAGAGUGCACCUGUUGGUCACAGGUGACAAGGUGUCUGACCACUGCCUCCCAGAAGAGGUGAGGGGCCACAGAAAUCAGAAGGCGGGAAAACCAAGAGCAUAACGGGCUCUGGGAGGGACCACAGAGGAAGGUGGCAAAGUGGGGCAGGGAAAGUCAGGCUCACCGUGGCCUCCCGGCUCUCCAGGUCCUCUGGGAUGUUUGGCGUGGGCCGAGGCGCCUCCUCCUCCUCACUGUCCAGAUGUUCUCCUCCAUCUCCUGUGGGGAGGUGGCCAGAGGGGUCCUCAGACAACCCAACAAGGAAGGAAGAGGAAGACAGAGCUCUUGCCACAGGGAGGCCGAGAUGGCACAGCAGGAGGCACGCCCCCAGAAUGCCACCAAUGUCCCAGGACAGGCCCACCCAUGGAACCAGGUUAUCAGGGACCCCGUGGGGAUGGGGUGGAAUCUGAGGGGUGAGCCUUCUUCCCCAGGCUGGGAGUGGGCAAGAUGAGACUGGCACCUCUGCAUCUGAGUGCCCCCCAAACCCAGCAGUCAUGUUGUAAGCAAAGAAAAUCACGUUAUUUCUUCCAGCUGAUGUUCCACUUGUUUCUUCUGCUGUUUCUGUGGGGAGAGUCAAAUUCAGGUGACUGAGAGUGGCCCCCUCAACUCUAUUCCCCAGACCUGGAAGUGGUAGGCAGGGACCAGGAAUGGAUUUUAAAGGCAACAUUCUCAGACCCAAUGGCGACACGAACUGGUCAACCCUCUUCAAGCACCCAAGGACAGAGGAUUUGGGUCUUUGUUGGUUUUUGCCCAAAGCCGCAGAACUCAAAGUUUGAAUCUGGAUUCUCUCAAAAGGACAGUAACAUAAACCUCUAGAGAGGGAGUCUCAGGAAGGCCCACCCUUCUGCCAGCUUGUGAUUUAGAAAGGUGCCUUCAUUCAACAAACAUUUACUGAACACAUACGGGCCAGCUACGGUUCUUCACAGCAGAUAUAGGAUGGAAAAGGACAGACAGGAGCCCUUGGCCCUCAGGUUUCCAUUCUAGGGGCCUUUAAAUCUCAGACUCUCAGAGCUAACAGAGAACUUUGAUGCUCUACCUCCUCCGGAAACACGAGCCCAAGGAGGACAGGUGGCUUGUCCAUACUCAAGGCAAAUUAGGGACUGAGUCAGGGCAGAAAUACAGGGCCCCUGACAACCAGUCAGGCUAGCGCUUCCCUGAGAGGUGACAACCCCAGGGUGUGUGUGGCAAGGACUGGAGCAGGGGUGUCUGGAGAAGAGAGAGUUGGCAAAGAGGGCAGUGACAGAAGAGCCAUGCUGCGUGCUCCUUGCUCUGGGGUCCCUCCAGGUGAGGCCUGGGUGCUCCAGCUCCCCAUUUGCCCUUGGCACCAGGGGCCCCCAGCCCCUUUCUUCAGGGCCCCAAGGGGAAACUAAAGCCCAGGAUUGGCAGCAUGGAAUCAGGGGACCCCACUGGACUCUUACCAAUGAUUCUAUGUUUUCAUUGAGUUGAUUGAUUGUCACGGAGCUUGACUCCAGGGCUACUGCUAGUUCUUGGUACUGGCUCUGAGGCACAUGCAGAGAGGAGGAGUUGGAAGAGGAUUGUGGGGAGAGGUAGAGAGAACAAUCAUUAGGGCUGGGGUGUGUGUGGGCUGUCUCAGCUGGCAGAGGGUCACCCAGCCCCCACUGUGAGAGGAGGUUGGAGGGCUGGCCUGCAGAGUCACUGCACCUCGGCCCAGGGCCUCUUACUUCCAGAUCCUUCAGGGUAACAGAUGAUGCAGGAGUAAUAAAAAUGAGAAAUUUAAAAAAAAAAACUUACAUGGGAAAUAGUUAUGUAUAUAGAGAAAGUAUAAAAACAGCAAGGAGCCGGGCACAGUGGCUGACACAGGUAAUCCCAACAGUUUGGGAGGCUGAGGGGAGUGAAUUACUUGAGGUCAGGAGUUCAAGACCAGCCUGGCCAACAUGGUGAAACUGCAUCUCUACUAAAAAUACAAAGAUUAGCCAGGUGUGGUAGCAGGUGCCUGUAAUCCCAGCUACUCAGGAGGCUAAGCCAAGAGAAUCGCUUGAACCCAGGAGGCAGAGGUUGUAGUGAGCCGAGAUCACACCACUCCACUCCAGUCUGGGUGACAGAGUGAGACUCUGUCUCAAAAAAAAAUAAAAAAUAAAAAAUAAAAAGGCCCAAACCCCACAUGCCUGCUCUGUACGUUAUUCCCAAAUUACUUUUAAACUUUUAGGUCUCACCAUUUCCAAGAUGAUAAAAGAUGCGGGGAAGGAAAAAACCCAAUCAAUCAAGCAGGUGAAGAAGCAGACAGAAACAGGCUGAAGGUUAAUGGCAGCAACAUAAAACAAGGCAGAGGCCAAGUAUUCCCCAAACCAGAGAAGCCUCAGGGCCAUGCAUAGCUGGAGACAGCAAGCCAGAGAGGGGUCUUGGCACUGCCUCACCUUCCACUUGUCCAAUGGGGGAGCACUACCCCAUUGGAGUAUUAAGGUUGGACACCAGCACCUUCAGAAUGUCCUGAAUCUACAGGAGGUGACAAGGGAAAAACAAGGGCAGGA